rnacentral:other from 1 species
UAUCUUCUGCGGUGUUGGUUAUCUGGUCGGGUAUAUCCCUUGAGCCUAAUUUAUAACCCCGGGGAUGAUCUGGUCGCUGUUGUUGUGCACGUCCGCUACGGCGGAAAGCCUGAUACGGUUCCAGUUGUCCCCACCUGAACCGCCCGGUUCAAGGUAGCACACCGGAGACGGCACCGUGGUUGAUAC